AUUGAACGCUGGCGGCAGGCCUAACACAUGCCAGUCGAACGGUAACAGAAAGCAGCUUGCUGCUUUGCUGACGAGUGGCGGACGGGUGAGUAAUGUCUGGGAAACUGCCUGAUGGAGGGGGAUAACUACUGGAAACGGUAGCUAAUACCGCAUAACGUCGCAAGACCAAAGAGGGGGACCUUCGGGCCUCUUGCCAUCGGAUGUGCCCAGAUGGGAUUAGCUAGUAGGUGGGGUAAAGGCUCACCUAGGCGACGAUCCCUAGCUGGUCUGAGAGGAUGCCCAGCCACACUGAAACUGAGACACGGUCCAGACUCCUACGGGAAGCAGCAGUGGGGAAUAUUGCACAAUGGGCGCAAGCCUGAUGCAGCCCUGCCGCGUGUAUGAAGAAGGCCUUCGGGUUGUAAAGUACUUUCAGCGGGGAGGAAGGGAGUAAAGUUAAUACCUUUGCUCAUUGACGUUACCCGCAGAAGAAGCACCGGCUAACUCCGUG
rnacentral:rRNA from 1 species